GGCUGCUGUGGCAGCACCUCAUUUUGAAAAGAUCACCAUGACGACUCAAAUUGUCUUCGCAUUUGUAGUCUCGUCUCUGUGGCUUCAAGUCCACUGCCAGGAUGUGACCCAGUACCCUGAAAUCAGAUGGAGCUAUUCGGAUAAAUCUGCGGAGAUGAACUGCAGCCACAAGAGAGAUGCAAGUCAUACCCAGAUGGACUGGUACAGGCAGCGUCCAGGGGAGACCAUGACCCUCAUUGUCUACACAGCUUUGGGUGGACAGCCAGACUACGGCGCGGGCCCUCAAGCCAAAUACUCAGCCAUCAAAGAGACCAUAGAGAGCGGGGCUCUUACUGUGAAAGACUUGAAGCUUGACGACAGCGGUGUGUAUUUUUGUGCUGUCAGUGUUUGUCUGGGUCUUGAGGUCCGUCAGUCUCCCUCUGAUCUCGUCACAAAACCUGGUGACAAAGUGCAGAUUUUCUGCACCCAUGGUAAAACUGACUACAGGAUGAUGCUCUGGUACCAGUGCUCACCUGGAGACACGGCUAUGAAACUCAUUGGAUAUUUGCACUACCAAGAUGUGAAAAUGGAAGAGCCAUAUAAAGAGGAUUUUAGUAUGUCUGGUGACUUGGGUGGAGAUAAAACUAAGAAUGGCUCUCUCAUCACCCAAGUCACAGGAGUUGAACAGGAUGCAGUUUACUAUUGUGCAGCUAGCAAAGCACGCUGA